rnacentral:rRNA from 1 species
UGGGGAAUAUUGCACAAUGGGGGAAACCCUGAUGCAGCGACGCCGCGUGAACGAAGAAGGUAUUCGUAUCGUAAAGUUCUGUCCUAUGGGAAGAUAAUGACAGUACCAUAGAAGAAAGCCCCGGCCAAAUACGUGCCAGCAGCCCCGGUAAAACGUAUGGAGCGAGCGUUGUCCGGAAUUAUUGGGCGUAAAGGGUACGCAGGCGGUUUAAUAAGUCGAAUGUUAAAGAUCGGGGCUCAACCCGGUAAAGCAUUGGAAACUGAUAAACUUGAGUAGUGUAGAGGAAAGUGGAAUUCCUAGUGUAGUGGUGAAAUACGUAGAUAUUAGGAGGAACACCAGUAGCGAAGGCGGCUUUCUGGACAGAAACUGACGCUGAGGUACGAAAGCGUGGGGAGCAAACAGG